rnacentral:lncRNA from 1 species
AUGCGCAUCUACCUCCGAUGGUGUCGAUCUCUCUCAAAUCCGGGCACGCCUCCCUUCAGCGCCGCCAACCUCCCCUGGAUCUGAGUAGUGGGCCGACCACACGCGCUCGUGGGCGCGAUUCACUCGCGCUUCACCUCUAAAGCCACCAAAGGGGCCCCCAACUUCGUCGAUCUUGCCCAGCUUCGGGCUUCUGAGUUCGGCAAUGCCGAGGAGCUCAUCCACGACCCAGCUCCGACCUCCACAUUUGCUGUCACCAUUGGUUUCUCCUGAUUUCGACCGUCCGAACCCCUCAAAGCUUUUUAGUGUUGAGAUCGCCUCCAAUGCAACCGAAGCCACCCACGGCAGCUCCCAAGUCCCUGUGCGGCGCUCUGCUUCCUUCCACAAUAAAGUCACCUGUGGGAAGCUUCAGUGUCCCUGUGCAUGCGUGCCUUCUACGGUGUCAUGACCGCCCCUAGAUGACAUCGAGGUCCCUUUCGAUGACACCGAAGGCGCCAUGUCCCUCAAUGACGCCGAACUUGUCCGGCAUCAAUGAGUCUGCCUGCGAACAAAUCUUGAGCCCCUCUUCUUUUUCAUCGAAAUCCACCCAGUUACCAAAGUCAAAGAAAUCCUCUCCAUUUCUCAAAGUCACCCAUUGCCAAUGGAUGACAUCGGGCGCCACCUCCUUUGUCGUCGAAGAGAAAUCUGGUGGACCCCAACAUCGACACUUCCUUAGCUUCCCAACCUCCGGUAAGUUGUCGCCCUUCUCUUGUGCACCC